rnacentral:lncRNA from 1 species
AGGUAUUGUGGCUCUGCUCCAGGAAGUCAUGCAAUGCCAGGCUCUGUCCACUUCAUUGCUCUGCCAGUUCUAGGGGGCUGACCCCAUCCAGACGGUCCAAGAUGACUCCUCAUCACGACUCAUGCUGUGUUCAGAUGCAGCCUGAUACGGACACUUAAACGAUAUCUCCAGGACCUGGUCCUCUCUCAGCGCGGCUCCCUCAUCCUCUGAAUGAGAAUCUCCUCCGCACCCUCAGACAGGCUCUUCCACCAUGAUUGCAAGAAGGUUUGGGCAGCUCCCUCCUUCAUGUGUUCUCAGCUUUAUGUCCACCGUCUCCCCUGUAAGAGUCAAAUGCAAGUCCUGUGCUGCCUCUCAGUGACCUGCACCAAUCCCAGUGGUGGGACAGGAGAACUUGUUCACUAAGACUAUUAGAAGCUCCCCCUCAGCCCACCCCUGCAACUAUGUGGCUGAGAGUGAGGGAGGGAUGAGUCCCUAGAGAAAAUUCUCUAUACUGUUUGACCAGGAGAAGGAUGAAUGACUGAAAGUGAACGUGAUGGCUGGAUCAUGAG